GGCGCUGUGGCUUAGUUGGUUAAAGCGCCUGUUUAGUAAACAGGAGAUCCUGGGUCCAAAUCCCAGCAGCGCCU
rfam:Oryzias latipes DNA, scaffold1898, strain: Hd-rR.